rnacentral:lncRNA from 1 species
CACGUGCGACUCUUCUUCAAAGAACCUCUCAGGUCUAAACUCUUCAGGUUUCUUCCAGCUGCUAGGGUUGUUCGCUAGCCACCAGGCAUUGACCAAGAUUUUGCUCUCUGCUGGGAUAUCGUAGCCAGCGAGCUUAGCGUCGUUGAGGUUCAUGUGAGGCACGAGGAGAGGAACACCCAUUCUUAGACGAAGUGUCUCUUUGAGCACGGCUUGGAGGUAUGGAAGCUUUUGAAGCUCUGGCUCUGUGACUUGCACGCCUGGUCCAAGCACCGUGUCGAUCUCGUUCCUUAGCUUGCUCUGGAUUUCAGGAUGGUUCACAAGUUCAGCAAUUCCCCACUCGAUAGACCACAAUGUUGUCUCCAGAGCUGUUUCAACACAAAUGAUACAAUAACUCAGGCACUGUACAAAAUCUACAUUACAGUGCAGUCUCUUCAGGGGAGACAGAUUUACUUUUGCAAUUUCUGACCAGACAAAGUAUACUGUAUAUGAAUUUAGCCUAUUUUGCUGUUUUACUUAAUAUUCUACUAAAAGUCAAAUGUCCAAUUUUAUACGCAAGCAAGAGACGUCUAGGGAAUUGAUUACGUAACCUACAAGGAAAAAGAACUUUAAGGCUAAGGAAGUUACCAGCGACAUUGAUGUUCUCGACGAUGUAAAGAACAUUAUCCUCGUUGAUUUCUCCGUUCUGUUGAGCUUCGAGGAUGUGAUCAAUGGCGCAUUUCAAUCCUUCGCUGCCUGAAGGCUUACCGCUCACAGUUCGCCUGUGUGAUUUGAUUUCUCAAUGUUACUUUCAAAAUCCCUAAAUCGAAAAAAACAAAAGUUUACCAAAUUUAGAAAUCGAAAGAGACGAACUCACUUCCUCUCGUCAACAAAAUACUUUUUGAAGAGCGCUAAUCUCCGAUCCUUCACAUCCUGACAAAUCUUCAAAUAGCCUCUUAGAAACGGCCUUAGGAUAGGGAUGAAGUCGCCAUAGUUAUACUCGAAGCUCUGAGUUAACCGGCUUCUAUCUCCGUUCAAGGCUUUUAACCGGAGAAGAAGAGGAUCAUCCUCGCUCUCGAACCUUCUAUUGAACAUAACACGAUACAUAUUAUUAUACAUCAUCAAUUGCAAUCGCUUCCUCACCACGAUCCCUUUCGUCGCCGAAUCUGGAUUCUUCUUCACAUCUUCGACUACACUCGCCGCCUCCGAUUCCCAUCCUUCCCGGUUAAGCUGAACCACCUUGCUGGUGAAAAACGGAACCGUCAUGAUCCGUCGCAUCUUCCUCCAGUGCUCGCCGUACUCCGUGAAAACCAUAUCCUGCCCUUUUCCGGUGAAGAUAUCGUACACGAUGUUCCUGUAUCUGGAUCCAAACUCGAUUCCCUGUGUUUGGAGAACUUCCUUGGUCAGAUCCGGCGAAGAGACGACGACUAGGUUCCGUUGACCCAUCCGUAAGUGGAAAAGGUCUCCGAAUCUCUUAGCGUAAUCGACGAGGUUACGGUGGUUGAGGUCAUCUCCGACCUGGAGCCAGUUUCCGAACACCGGAAUCGGUAUAGGACCAGGAGGUAGCUUCAAUUUCUUGCCGCGGAGCUUGGAAAUCACGGCGGCGAGAACCACCGCCACGAAGACGGCGAUUAGUGACUUCUCUAACAAGAGAAACUCCAUUAUACUUCACUCUCCGCUCAAUUUAUCUUUGAUUUUCCCGGUGAGAAAUGAAUCAAAUGACUAAUAUUAUCAAUCAUUUUAGUCAUUUUAAUCUCUAAUAAGACUAUAAACUCAAGUUCGCUUUGUCCUUCUAUUUGAAUAUAAUUAAGAUUUGACUAAUAUAAUCAUUUCUUGACUUCUCAUCGAUUUUCUACACAUGAUGUUGAAUAUUAUAAUUUUAAUACAAAUUGUGUAAUGAAAUGGAUUUCAUGAACGUUAGUUUGUCUUUGAUCCCAAUUAAAAAAAAGGAACGUUAGUUUGAGGUAGAAACCUCCAAAUUAGGAACUAUGGUUUAUGGUUCAACAAUCAUAAGUAUUUGAAAUGAAUAUACCAAACAAUAUUCAUUCAAAACAGUGGGAACCACUAGUUAUUUCAAUCAUGGAACGAACCAUUUAACGACAUUUUACACAAGACCUUACAAAAAAAAAGACCAAAACAUGGAAUAUUCAACAGAUUUCACAAACAUCAUUAUAAUGCCAUCCACAUAACAAAAGACAUUUUGCAGAAAUUACGUUUUCACUUUUUUUUGCAGAAAAUGUUAAAAGGCCCUUGGUUUCAUAACGAUUGUUGAGUGGUUAAGGAUGUGCAAGCUGAAUUGUCCACCUUUCUCAGAAGUAUCCACUUUAGACUGUCCAGGAGGAGGAAGAAGCUCGAAGUUCUGUACCAGCCUACCAAUGGUGAUUCCCAAAAUGGGCAACGCCAAUAUAAUCCCGGGACAGCUUCUACGUCCAACACCAAACGGCACAUACCUGAAGUCAUUACCAUUCGCUUCCACAUGCGCCUCUUCUUCGAAAAACCUCUCGGGUCUAAACUCUUCAGGUUUCUUCCAGCUUUCGGGGUUGUUCGCUAGCCACCAGGCAUUGACUAGGAUUUUGCUUUCAGCUGGGAUAUCGUAGCCAGCGAGCUUAGCAUCGUUAAGGUUCAUGUGAGGCACGAGGAGAGGAAUAGCCAUUCUUAGACGAAGCGUCUCCUUGAUCACGGCUUGGAGGUAUGGAAGCUUGUGAAGCUCAGGCUCUGUGACUUGAACACCAGGUCCAAGAACCGUAUCGAUUUCGUUCCUUAGCUUGCU